UACAGAGGGGGCAAGCGUUAUUCGGAAUUAUUGGGCGUAAAGGGCGCGUAGGCGGCUUUGCAAGUGGCGGGUGAAAUCCCUCGGCUUAACCGAGGAACUGCCUGUCAAACUGCAUGGCUUGAGACCAGGAGAGGUGAGUGGAAUUCCCAGUGUAGCGGUGAAAUGCGUAGAUAUUGGGAGGAACACCAAUUGCGAAGGCAGCUCGCUGGAACGUAACUGACGCUGAGACGCGAAAGCGUGGGGAGCAAACAGG
rnacentral:rRNA from 1 species